CAGUAGCCGCGGUAAUACGAAGGGGGCUAGCGUUGCUCGGAAUGACUGGGCGUAAAGGGCGCGUAGGCGGAUGUUUAAGUCAGAGGUGAAAGCCCAGGGCUCAACCUUGGAACUGCCUUUGAUACUGGACAUCUUGAGUGUGGGAGAGGUGAGUGGAACUCCGAGUGUAGAGGUGAAAUUCGUAGAUAUUCGGAAGAACACCAGUGGCGAAGGCGACUCACUGGCCCAUUACUGACGCUGAGGCGCGAAAGCGUGGGGAGCAAACAGGAUUAGAUACCCGUGUAGUCCCUGUCUCUUAUAC
rnacentral:rRNA from 1 species